CUACGGGCGGCUCCAGUGAGGAAUAUUGCACAAUGGGGGGAACCCUGAUGCAGCGACGCCGCGUGGAGGAUGACGCAUUUCGGUGUGUAAACUCCUUUUAUAUGUCAAGAAAAUGACGGUAGCAUAUGAAUAAGCACCGGCUAACUCCGUGCCAGCAGCCGCGGUAAUACGGAGGGUGCAAGCGUUACUCGGAAUCACUGGGCGUAAAGGACGCGUAGGCGGGUUGGAAAGUCAGGUGUGAAAUCCUACAGCUUAACUGUAGAACUGCACUUGAAACUUAUAAUCUAGAGUAUGGGAGGGGGAGAUGGAAUUAGUGGUGUAGGGGUAAAAUCCGUAGAUAUCACUAGGAAUACCUAAAGCGAAGGCGAUCUCCUGGAACAUUACUGACGCUAAGGCGUGAAAGCGUGGGGAGCAAACAGGAUUAGAUACCCGUGUAGUC
rnacentral:rRNA from 1 species